rnacentral:rRNA from 1 species
GCCCUUACUGCUCAGUAACACGUAGUCAACCUGCCCUUGGGUCGAGAACAAUCUCGGGAAACUGAGGCUAAUUCUCGAUAAAUCAAGAUUCCUGGAAUGGGUUUUGGUCAAAAUGAUGCAACAGCAUCUUGUUAUUUUCGCCCGAGGAUGGGACUGCGGCCGAUCAGGCUGUUGGUGAGGUAAAGGCUCACCAAACCAGUAACCGGUACGGGCUUUGAGAGAAGGAGCCCGGAGAUGGACACUGAGACAAGGGUCCAGGUCCUACGGGGCGCAGCAGGCGCGAAACCUUCGCAAUGCGCGCAAGCGCGACGAGGUUAUUCCGAGUGAUUUCCGCUGAGGAAAUCUUUUCUCAGAUCUAAAAUGUCUGGGGAAUAAGGGGAGGGCAAGUCUGGUGUCAGCCGCCGCGGUAAUACCAGCUCCUCGAGUGGUCAGGGCGUUUAUUGGGCCUAAAGCAUCCGUAGCCGGCUCAGUAGGUCUCCUGUUAAAUCCAACGGCUCAACUGUUGGUCUGCAGGAGAUACCACUGGGCUAGGAGGCGGGAGAGGCGGACGGUACUCCGAGGGUAGGGGUAAAAUCCUUUGAUCCCCGGAAGACCACCAGUGGCGAAGGCGGUCCGCCAGAACGCGCUCGACGGUGAGGGAUGAAAGCUGGGGGAGCGAACCGGAUUAGAUACCCGGGUAGUCCCAGCUGUAAACGAUGCGAGCUAGGUGACACAAGGCCUUCGGGGCCUUGUGGUGCCGCAGGGAAGCCGUUAAGCUCGCCGCCUGGGGAGUACGGACGCAAGUCUGAAACUUAAAGGAAUUGGCGGGGGAGCACAAGGGC